CUGCAAUGGUCAGCCUGCAAUGGAGUGCAGAAGAAAGCUGGAGAAGCAGUAUCCACUCUCCCACCUGCACAACUUGAAAAAUGCAAUUACUUCAGGAUGUUCCAAACUACCCUAAGCAGAGACUAGGAAGGCAGCAGUAGAUUUAACCCCAAACCUUACUUCGCAGAAGAAAAGAUAACUCCCCCCAGCCCAAGUGGUACAAUGGACACAUCCCUUUCAUUUUCUGAUGACACAGUCUCAAUUUGGAUCUGAGGCACAUCUGCAAAUAAGAGGCUCGAGAGCUACCUCCAGAAGCUGAUUGCCUUCCUUUACUGAAGCCUCAGAUGCCAAAUGGCAAGUCAAAAUGGUGACAAGUCCUGACUCCGCUUCUCAUCAUUUCCACUACCAUCUAGAGAAAAGCUGGAUCACUCAGCAUCUUAGAGCAUCUCCCAAGGGCUGCCAGGGCCUUCUUGGUUCCAUCUCCAAUGUGGCCAUCAGGAUUCAGGGCCAGCCUGACACUCUUGUUGUGAGGGUCAUGCUCUGGCUGUAAGUCAACUCCCAAGUAACUCCUAAGCCACCUGGCUGGAGGAUGCUCAUCACCAGGGUAUCCUGUGGGAUGAGAAGGUGACAGCGUCCUGUGCAUACCUGGGGGUGGGAGGGUUCAAAGACCACAUCUGUCUGCUCUGUGUCAUCAGACCCUGGUGGGGAGCUGCUACCCACCUCGGUCACGAUGGUGGACAGGUAGACGUCCUG